rnacentral:rRNA from 1 species
AGGUGGGAGGCGGGAGGCGACGGAUUCCAGUUCCUAGCAGAUCCGGUUCACAGGUUUCCCUUGCCGGAUCUCGCCGCCGGCGGCUCUUUACUGCGCAGUGAAGCCAAGCAAGCUGCGGUACACACGCCCGCCGAAUCCAGCAUUUGUGAUGUGGGUGAUGCGGCGCCGACACCUGACAGUACAACUAUAUUUGAACAUCGCUUGCAAUGGGAUGGCCCUGUCGGCGCCGAACUCAGAGCAAUCGAUGGGCAAGGACGAUCCUCAGCCGCCUGGCUGGACCAAGAGAAUGAGUGCCUUGAAAAAACAUUGAGAAGAUAUGUAGUUCCUGCGGUAGGAAGCCACUUUAAUUCACUUGGAGAAGCAUAUGUCUAUUACAAUCUGUAUUCUAGGGACACUGGGUUUGGAAUAACGUACGGCAAGAGCAGGCUUAAUGUUGAAAGGAUAAAUGCAUGCAGGAGAUACUAUGUGGCUGCUCCUGCUCGGGAAGCAAGUGAGAACUAUGAAGAGAGACGUACAAAGAUACUAAUGCGCGUAAUGAAAAUGAACACACCACUGGAGUUGCAUGCUAGCGAUAUGUACACACGAGCCAUGUUUGAAAAGUUUGGCGAAAUUAUGUAUGAAGCAGGGCAGUACAAAGUAGAGGAGGCGGGGGCUCUGUUAGCCAUGUGUCUUCCAGCUCUAGCUCGAGUGCCCUUGCAGUCAGCGAUGAGCACGACCUGCAUCUUCAGUUCUUGCCAUCUGAUGAUCAUGUCGCUGGCGGCAGUGCUCCAGGGCAUGCGGCUUUCGUGCAGGUCGGUGAUUGAGGAUACCGUGUACGGGAGGGCUGAUGGUGUAUCGAUGGCAGAUGAAGGUUGCGAAGAUGAGUCACAAGUCCAGUCCCGUUCUUCAACCGUGGAAGAGGUGGGUACCUAUGAUCCAGAAAAUCAGAGCUACGCCGGCGGUGAUAACUGGUCCAAGACAGGAAGCUACUCCGAGUUAAGGACCAAGGUUGCUGAUGGAUCCAUCAGCGGCGUCGAUGAUGGUCUGCGUAUUAACUUUGAUCAGAACCUGUAUCUAAAGAAACUGAGUAGAGGGUCGCCUUUUAUGAUGGAAUUUGCAGCAGGUGAGCCUUGCAUCCACUACUUAGAUGAGUUUAGUCACCGCAUUAUGUGGGGCAACACAGUUACGCUCUACAACCAUAAUGUUCGUAGACUGCAAAAGAUCAUCUGCAGCACCACCACGCCCGAUCGCUACUAUGUGUGCCACAUGACAGAGACAUUUGCAACACACGGCAAAAGAAUGUACUUUAGCAUUCCCUUUUCUACUGGUUCCCUUUUCCCACACAUGUAUGUUGACCAUGGUGAACUGCCAAUCACUACUGAAGAUAGAACUACCGCUGUCACAACACGCUUUAUCAAGGGUGUUGACAAAAGGGCCACCAUCACUAAAGACUGGAGCGACUUCUUCCAUCAGGCACAGAUGAAAAAAGGGAAAGCGUAUGCUUUCGGCUUCAAAUGCACUUCCAAGGGACUGCGCCUG